rnacentral:rRNA from 1 species
AGUGAACGCUGGCGGUAGGCCUAACACAUGCAAGUCGAACGGCAGCACAGGAGAGCUUGCUCUCUGGGUGGCGAGUGGCGGACGGGUGAGGAAUACAUCGGAAUCUACUUUUUCGUGGGGGAUAACGUAGGGAAACUUACGCUAAUACCGCAUACGACCUACGGGUGAAAGCAGGGGACCUUCGGGCCUUGCGCGAUUGAAUGAGCCGAUGUCGGAUUAGCUAGUUGGCGGGGUAACGGCCCACCAAGGCGACGAUCCGUAGCUGGUCUGAGAGUAUGAUCAGCCACACUGGAACUGAGACACGGUCCAGACUCCUACGGGAGGCAGCAGUGGGGAAUAUUUGACAAUGGGAGCAAGCCUGAUCCAGCCAUACCGCGUGGGUGAAGAAGGCCUUCGGGUUGUAAAGCCCUUUUGUUGGGAAAGAAAUCCAGCUGGCUAAUACCCGGUUGGGAUGACGGUACCCAAAGAAUAAGCACCGGCUAACUUCGUGCCAGCCGCCGCAGUAA